rnacentral:lncRNA from 1 species
GUUUUUCGAAGAUUUUGAUUAAUUCUAGUGUUACAUUCUUAAUAUUCAGAAAUUAAGAAAGAUUGUAAAUUUUCUGCUCUUCAUACCAUUACUGUUGAGAAUAAAGAUUAUGUCUCAGCUCAUUUGGGAAAAUUUCCUAUUUUUGAUAUGGUUAAUAAAUCACUGAAUAGAAUGUGAUAAUUAGCUAAAUAAAGAAGUGAAUUUUGUGGUUUGGUAAUUGGUUUCUAAUUGUGCAGUUUCAACACUGGGUGAAUCGAACUGAUGCCGUGGAUCUCACAGAAUGUUCAGAUGUCUCGAGGAAUAAAGGUCGAUUUCUUGAUUACUUUAACUGGAAAUUCAGUUUCAUUAUACUCUAAUUUACUUCUUUGCAUUUCUUGCUCCAAUAAUGCUUCAAGUAAAGGAAAAAUUUAACAAAAUGUGUAAUGUGGCAAAAUGUGAUUGGACUGUUUUUAUUCUUUUUCUCACCUUUCAAUGAUGUCGCGCCACGUAUUGUUUAUAAGGAUUUUCUGUCAAAAAGUUUUGUAAUUAUAGCAUGAUUCUUCUUGCUUUCCAAAUAGGUGAACAAAGUCUUAAGGACCAGAAAAUAUUUUCUCCAAAUUAGCCAAGUGUCAACCUACCUUAACAUUUUUGAAACAAUAAUGAGUCGAGUCAAAUGUAUGAAACAUAUAGGUUAAUGGAGAACAUAUAAAUUAUCUUUUGUUCAGCCUUAGCUAAUAAUGACACAUUUUUUAAUAGCAGAUUAAUCAAGUGGGCAUCAAUUGUUUGUAAUGACAUUUCUUAACGUGGUACCCUCCAAACAAUAGGCAACAAGAGAUAAAGGUACACAGAAUACAACACAUGAACAAUAUGGCAAAAUUGAUGGAAUUGAUAGUAUUUUCGUUCCAUUCUGGUAAAAAUUUUGUGUUAUUAUUUGAUUCUAUUGCAGUCAAUAAACUUCCAUGAAUAGGCAAGAAAAUCAUGGAAAUAUGAUUCUAGUGCUCUCAUAUUCUGGGUCGUUUCUUUAUGUAUUGAAUAACAUAAUUUAGUAUAGUCAAGUAGGAUUCCAAAGAGUUCGACUAAGACUUGUCCUUCACUCAAAUUUUAAUGGAUUUUAAAAGUUAAUUAAAAUUUAGAUGUCUUCAACUCAUAUUUCAGUUGAUUUUGGCUAAAUUUCCAUGCAUUCAACUCAGAUUUUAGUAGAUUUCAUAAAAAAAUAGGAAUUUUCAAUAACUCAUCGGUGCUUAGCUUAUGUUAAGCACCGAUGAUAUGACACACCAUUCGAUUGGUGAAUAAGUUAAAUUAAUCUUUUUAUUAUGCUUUUAAAACUCUGUUCUCCAAUUAAACUUGUCAUUAAUUAUAAAAUAUUUUGUGCAUAAUCCUUGACACUGUCAUGAAAAAAUGAUUUUUAUAUUUUGGUUGAAAUGAUUUUCAAUAUGUAUAAUCUGUACCGUAGAAUUCUAUUAAAAUUACAUGAAAUUAAUUAAAAUUUAUUAUGAAAUUUUGUUAAAGAUUUUAUAAUUUUAUAGAAAUUAUGUGAAUUCAGUUGAAAUUCAUGAAAUCUAUAAGAAUUCAUAAAUCUUAAGAAAUUCGUUAGGAAUCGAGGGAGUGUAUAAGUAUAUAACCACUUAAUCAAGCAUAUCUUAAGAAAUGCGUUAAAAUUUGACAACGGGUGAAUUAUGGAAGAGAAACAUUCCAAAAUUACACCUACCUCUGAUUUUUAAUGAUUUUUAACUUAACAUUUCAAAAAUCAAAUUUUAACUUUAUCUUUCGAAAAUCAGGUGCAUGUACUCCUACCCCACUUGAUGCUGAUCAAUUAGAAGAGAAAAUUCUAAACCAAUUAAAAAAGAGAAUAAAUAAGAAGGAUUUAAGAAAAUGUGUUCACUCGGUGUCAAAUUUUCGUCUAUGAAUUCAAUUUGAUUUUGCACGAUUUUGAUUUUGUCUGAGUUCAAUAAGAAGCAUUUUUUGAUUUUGCACAAUUUUGUUGGGGUGAAAAUAAUUGCCUUUGGCUAACAUUGUCAAACUUUUCGGGUCAAAUUUCAUCAUUUAAGAGUAUUUUCAUGUUUUACAUUUUUUUUAGUUUAUUUUGAUUUUCUACAAAAUUGGGAUCUCAAUAUGAUUUUGAUUUAUUUUGACUCUGUAAAUAUGUUUUAAAAGGCUAUAAAAACAUUUACAUUCAUUUUUCUUGAUUAAUAAGAUAUUUCAAUUAUUUCUCGUUAAUUGGUUGAUUUCAAUAUUUCUCUUGUCCAUUUGAACAAAAUUCGAUUAAACAUCUAUUCGUGUGUUGCGAAAAAUGAAUCUUUCAUUAUUAUUUACGUUUCUAUCCCGCAUCACCACCUAUUCUUUUACCCAUUUUCCCAAUUAAUAAUACACACUCACUCCACCAUAAUUGACUACAACCACCAGCACCUGCAGAGACGGAUAUAGGGGGACUGGGCUAGGCUGUAGUCUCCAAAGCCCAAGAAACUUAUUUUUUUAUGGGAAAAAUUCAUAAUCUAGAAGAUAAAUAUAGGACAUUUCUAAUCUAAGAUGACAUGUUUGAAGUUUCAUAAAUCAGAAAUUAGAUUGGUGGAGAGACAAAAUCUUGGGGGGAGUAGAGAGAAGGAGAUUUGAUAGGAAUUAAAUACAGGUGGGGGAGAGGAUGGGAGGAGAGGGAAGGAAAUUGGAGAGAGAAUAAAUAAUAUUUAAUAUUUAAACAAGUAAGAUUUAAUUUUAGAAAUGUGAAAUUCCUAGACUCUAUUAUAACCAAUUCACUUAUCAAAAUUACAAUUGACAGCUCAGAUGAGGAAUAAAGGACACAAAUUUGAACAAACUCCUACAAUUCAUCUCUCAGAUGAUGUAUUAAAGCCACAGAUUAUUUAAUAUUAAGGUCAAAAUUAUAUAUAAUUUAGUCACAGAUUCACGAUUUAAUUACUCACAUAUUAUUUUUCGAUCACAAAUCAAAUUUUUUUAUUCAUCACAAAUUAUUUUACGGUCACAAUUCAAAAAUUCAUUAGGCCACAGUUUGUUCAUUGAUCACGAAUCAGAAAAUUUUAUACGUUACAAAUUAUUUAUUGAUCACAGAUUACAAAUAUUAUAAGUCAGUUUAUUAAACAACCAUACGUUACAAAUUAUUUAUUGAUCACAGAUUACAAAUAUUAUAAGUCACAGUUUAUUAAACAACCAUAAAUUGCCACGAAUCAGAAAAUUUUAUACGUCACAAAUUAUUUAUUGGUCAUAGAUUACAAAUAUUAUAAAUCACAGUUUAUUAAACAGCCACAAAUUAACAAUUUUUUUAGGUCACAUAUUUUUUUAUUUUUUAUUUAACAAUUCCUCUUUUUUCAGUGGUCACAUGUUUAUCGGUCACAGAUAAAAUGAUCUUGUGACGCAACCAACACUUAUGAUCACCACCCCCACCACUGCUACCGUCGCAUUGACGUCACAACUGCCACCUCCAAAACAACCACUACCAUGUCUUGGUAGCCCUGUCACCACCAACACAAAACCACUUAAAAAAUUACCACAAAACAACCCAAAUCCAUCCCAAAAAAGAGACGCCACAAACCACGAAUCCAUCCUUGUCCGUCGCUCACAACACCAAAUCUCGUCGUGGGCGACGAAAGCAAGUACCUGUCGAUGGGGGUGAAGCUAGAAGAUAAGAAUCAUGGGGGCAAAAUGUAAAAAAUAUUAAGGACUUUUUUUAAAAAAAUAAAUAAAUUAUAAUUUGGUUCAAAACAACAAAUUUUGUAAAAAAACCAUGGGGGUAGUGGGGUUGUAAAUCCGUUCUUGCCUGCCGAUGAAAAGAACGAAGAAGAAGGAAGAUGACUGUGGCCACUGCUCUUCACAUCGCGAUAGUGGUGGUGCGGGCUGCGUGGCGAGGAUUACUGCGAUGCUGUUCAACACAAUGUGAGACUAAGCGGUAGCUGCACAACGCAGUGGAUAUCGUCUGAAUCGAAACAGGUUUCUUAGGCUACUAAAAGAGAGAGAAGAUGGGUGGAGAGAGAAUACGAGUGGAAGGAUAGAAGAAAGAUUGGAGAGAGAGAAAUUAGAUAAAGGCACAGGUGGGUGGGUGGUUGGGGGAAAGAGAGAGAGAAUAGGGUGGGAGGAGAGAGAAGGAGAUUGGAGAGAUAUAAAAAUUAGAUAGAGGUAAAUACGGGUAGGAGAGAAAGAAUAUGGUGGGAGGAGAAAGAAGGAUAUUGGAGAGAGAAAGAGAUUGGAGAGAUAAUAUUUAAUAUUUAAAAUGUGAAAUAUUUAACUUUUGAAAUGUAGAAUUAGUCAUCUGAUUUUAGAACCUUAGAUUAUAACUCUAGGGAUUUGUGUAAUUUCCACUUUUUUUAAUGCAUUUUUCUUUUUCUUUUUCUUUUUUCAUCUCUUUUCUUUUUUUUAAAAAAAAUAGUUUUUGUGUGUAAUUUUUUUACCCCAUAUUAGUUCGGCUUGAAAUUUUGUAGCCCGUUCUUGGAUUCAAUCCUAAAUCCGUCCCUAACUGCCUGCCACCACCUCUUCCACCAUUGUCACUUGCUACAACCAAACCCACAUGCCACCAAUUUAAUUUUGCCUAUAAACAAAUCUCUUCUUUUUAGAAAUCACCUCCAUCGGCGCCCAUUGCUGCCAUCAUUUCCACGAUUCGUGAACUCGGUGAAUUGCACCAUAGACGCGAACACGACUCCAAAGACCUGAUCUAACGACCAAGAAGAUUCGAGAUCGAGAUCCAAAUCCAUCAUAAAUGUCGCUGCAUAAUGCGAAGAAUCUACUUUGGACAUGUACCUAGUGUCACUAUGCAAAGAAGAUGUGAAUGAAGCUAUGAAAUCAAGUGCACUGCUACAUCUCUGGUUGUGCAUGUAUAUGUAUACGUGAUGCAGGGAGUGGUGGUGGAAAUGAUGGAGGUGAGUUGAAGAUGGAGGUGAUGAUGAAUUUGAGGAGGUAAUGGUUUUUGAGGUGGCAGUGACAUUUGGGUGGUACUGAUGGUGGUGGAGUGGAGUGGGGUGCUAUGAAUAUUAUUUGUGAACAAUUAUUUGGAUAUUUAUUUUCUGUAAAAUAAGUAAUUGUGAUAUGAUUUGCAACUAAAUUUGUAAUUAUAACUCAUAAUAUCUUUUUGACUGUGAUAUUAUGCAAUUUGUUACUGGUUCAUGAUUAUGACCAUAAAUUGUGUGUUACUCAUGACCUUUCUUAAAUGAGCAAUAAAUCACAAAAUUGUUAUCAGGUGUGGCCACCUAAGUUUGAAAUAUUUUCACAAAUUUCUUAUUUAUUAAAAU